GAGGUACUCCCUCCAUUCAGAAAUACUUGUCUUAGAAAUGGUUGUAUCAAAAACUAAAACAAGUCUAGAUACAAUCAUUUCUAGGACAAGUAUUUCCGAACGGAGGGAGUAUGUG
rfam:Triticum aestivum genome assembly, contig: Triticum_aestivum_CS42_TGACv1_scaffold_291981_4AL